UACUUUGAAAGCUACUUUCUUGAGUUCCA
rnacentral:piRNA from 1 species